UGCGUAGGGUCCGAGCGUUGUCCGGAAUUAUUGGGCGUAAAGAGCUUGUAGGCGGUUUGUCGCGUCUGCUGUGAAAUUUCGGGGCUCAACCCCGAACUUGCAGUGGGUACGGGCAGGCUAGAGUGUGGUAGGGGAGACUGGAAUUCCUGGUGUAGCGGUGAAAUGCGCAGAUAUCAGGAGGAACACCGAUGGCGAAGGCAGGUCUCUGGGCCACUACUGACGCUGAGAAGCGAAAGCAUGGGGAGCGAACAGG
rnacentral:rRNA from 1 species